CAUAUACUCCCUCCGUCCGAAAAUACUUGUCAUCAAAAUGGACAAAAAGAGAUGUAUCUAGAACUAAAAUACAUCUAGAUACAUCUCCUUUUAUCCAUUUUGAUGACAAGUAUUUCCGGACGGAGGGAGUAAUAA
rfam:Triticum aestivum genome assembly, contig: Triticum_aestivum_CS42_TGACv1_scaffold_641028_T_6AL-0.195366_6BL-0.122193